UUGCUCCUAAGGGGCGAGGGGAGCGCGGACCAGUCAUCAAAGAGACGCCGGGGGGAGGGGCGGACUUUAUAAUUCCGGUUCGUUCGUAGGGGCGGGGCAAGGAGGGUAGUAUCGCGAGACCUCACGGAAGCUCCAGAGUUUCGGUUCGUUUUCAAUUAACACCUGUUUCAACCCUCCCAUUGCUUGGAUGGGAUCACUUAGGGCUGGAGGCGGGGAGGGGCUCAAACGAGGUCAGACAGCAAACUAGUAGUGUGGAGACCAAAACCCCGGCAGCCUGGCUAAUCACUUGGCCUACUGUAAUUCUCAGAAGAACCCUAUCGUAUUAUGAUGCCGUUUUUACAGAUGAGGAGACUGAAGCACACACACUGUCACUGGAUCAUGGCCACACAGUAUAUCUCAGCAAGAACCUAAUGUCUGCAGACUCAGGGGAGUCCCAAUGGCCGGACUGGCAGCUCCUUGAGGGCACGGACAUCUGUCUGUCCCGGCCUUGCAGUGUCCCCAGUUCAUACAGCAGGGACAGGCACACAGAAGGUUUAAACAGGAUCCACAGGUGGCAGUCAGAACCCCUGGGGUCCCCACAACCAGUCUUGCCAAAUGUCAAAGGAAGGGGAUCCUCCUCUGAGCCCGGGCAGUUUGGAACGUACAGCCUGUAGAGGAUGGGAGCCCUGGCCAACCUCUGGACCACCCAGAGCAGGCCUGUGGGAUCCAUUCACUCAACUGAGCACCUAUGGUAUGCAGUCCUGGGGACACAGAGGGGACAAGGCAGACGGAAGCGGCUGCCUUCAUGCACUCACCAUCUGUUGGGUGGCGGACACCACGCAAGGUUGAUAGCCUGCCCAGUGGCCAUGAAGAUGGUGCAGGACCAAACAGCAUCUUGUUCCGUUACACAAGGUCACCAUGAGUCGGGCUGACUCGACGGCAACUAACAAAAUAACCUGCAGAUUUGGCUUUGUUACUGCUCCCAUUUUACAGACAAGGAAAAUUGUCAGCAAAAACCUGGGGACAGUUUGCGUCCGUCCACCCCUUGCCUACAGCUCGGCUCCUGAAAACUUUGCAUUUUCUGGAACUAUGCUGCCCAUUACAGGAGCCAUGAGCCACAUGUGGCUAUUGAAAUUUAAAUUAGCUAAACUGGGGAAAAAUAUUGAGUAUACCAUGGACUGCCAAAAGAAUGAACAAAUCUGUCUUGGAAAUGUACAGCCAGAAUGCUCCGUAGAAGCCAGGAUGGCGAGACUUCGUCUCACAUACUUUGGACAUGUUCUCAGGAUGGAUCAGUCCCUGGAGAAGGGCAUCACGCUUGGUAAAGCAGAGGGUCAGCGAAAAAGGGGAAGACCCUCAACGAGAUGAAUUGACACAGCGGCUGCAACAGCGGGCUCAAGCGUAACAAUUGUGAGGAUGGCGUAGAACUGGGCAGUGUUUCAUUCUAUUGUAUGUAGCGUCACUGAGUUGGAAUCAACUCAAAGCCAUCUGACAACAAAAGAAUGAAAUAAAAUUGAAAUUGCAAUACCUCAGCCACCCCCCCCACCCCCCAGUGAGAACCUCUGUCCUCAAUGAAGUUUCACCUCCAUUGACUUAUUUCCUCUUCCUAAUUCCCCCCUAGGAGGGACAUGUGAUGAUAGGCCCCACUUUCCAGAUGGGGAAACUGAGACACAAAUAUAGGCAGCGAUGUAAUCAAAACCACACAACAACAGCUGCUGGAAUUUCAUCUCCCUGAGCGUCAGUCUUCUGAUCUGUGAAAUGGGGUUAACAUCGACACCCCCCCAGGGGUGUUGUGAGGACUGAAUGAACUCAUGCCUGUGGGAGACAUCUAAGGGCACAAAACAAAGGCUUAUUAAACAGAGCCUUUGAUUAUUUACCUGAAAGGCCGAAGCUUUGUCCUGUGGCUUCAAGCCUGGCUCAGGGUUUCUCAACCUUGGCGCUGCGGACGUUGGUGGGGGCCAUUCUGUGCACUGUAGCGUGUUGAACAGCAUCCCUGGCCUCCACCCACUCCAUGCCAGUAGCCAUACCCCCUCCCCAGGUGGUGACAACCACGGCUGAGACCGGGGCCCUUAGGGGACUUAAACAAGGUCACCCUACGCAAAACCAUACAUUUCAAUAGUCAACACUUAGAGAGUAAUUCCUUUGACUAGAUUGGGCUGCAAGUUUCACCUCCAUUGACUUAUUUCCUCUUCCUAAUUCCCCCCUAGGAGGGACAUGUGAUGAUAGGCCCCACUUUCCAGAUGGGGAAACUGAGACACAAAUAUAGGCAGCAAUGUAAUCAAAAUCACACAACAACAGCUGCUGGAAUUAAUAUUCAGACCCCCUGAUACUCCACAUUUGGGGACUUUCUUGUGCCCAGCGGGCCCUUGGAGGGCCUCCGUUUCUCUCAUUCCAGGGCCUCUUCCUUGUUGACAGUUUGGGGUGAUCCUGGGUGUUUGGAACCUGUUCUCCGUCCAGCCCAGUGAAGCUCCCAGCUGGGGAUCCCCCACCCUUCUACUCCCUACCAAGAGUCUCUUCUGCCAUCGGCGAAGUUAAUUGUGGCUCCGAGGGUGCAGCUGUUGGCAGCCGGGGGCACAAUAAAGCCUUUGCAUCUCCCUAAAGUAUCCUAUUGGAGUGGGGGCCCCAGGCCUUCUUGCUCCCUGUUGUACAAGUUGGGGAAAUUUCAAAGCGCCCCCACCCUGGGCUACUGAAGAGGGGGCUGGAGUGUGGAGUAAGAAGGUAUGAGUCCGGAGUAAUAAUAAUAAUUUUAACAAUAGCAACUGCCAUGUACAGAAGGCUUACCAAGUGCCACUUGCAACCCAACCUAGUCAAAGGAAUUACUCUCUAAGUAUUAAAGAGGUUAUGCAUUUGAUAUCAUUUCAUCUAACGCCCUACAGUAAUCUUUGUCUGAGGCUGUUGACUCCCUGGUUGCCCAGAGAGGCCAAGUGAGUUACCCAAGGCCACACAGCAAGGGAAGCCCAUGCGUCAACCCAGUUUUAUCUGCGCCUCUCUCUUAAAAACACAUAAAUGAACAUCUUUUUGAAACAGUGUUGGUCCCAGGUUUUAAAGUAUUGUCUUGUUUGCAUGUGUCCUCCUGACUUGGUGGACCUCCACCUGAAUGUGUUUUCUGUGGCUGAUUCUGCACCCAGGACCAGGCAGUGUUUUGUUCUGUUGUACACAGGGCCACUAUGAGUCGGAACCCGCUCGACGGUACCUAACAACAACAGAGCUUGCGGCCGGCGUUUAAUUUGGCACUUUGUACUCUUCAAAAUACAUCCUUUUUCUUUUUUAAAAACAAUGUUGGUAAAACAUCCACAACGUGACAUUUACCCUUUUAACCAUUUUUAAGUGUACAAUUCGGUGGUAUUAAACGCAUUCACCGUGGUGUGCAGCCAUCAACGCUAUUUCCAGAGCUUUCUCACUCAUCACCCCAAACACAAACCCAGUGCCGGUUAAGCACUAGCUCCCCCUUCUCCCCCCGCAGCCCCUGGCAACCACGAAUCUACUUCCUGUCUCUAUCCAUUCGGUUAUUGUAGGUAUUUCACGUAAGUGAGAUGGUAUGAUAGCUGUCCUUUUGCGUCUGGGCCAGCAUAAUGUUUUUGAGGUUCAUCCACGUUGCAGC